rnacentral:tRNA from 1 species
CAUUAGAUGACUGAAWGUAAGUAUUGGUCUCUUAAACCAAAUUAUAGUAWAUUAACAAWUACUUCUAAUGA